UUGGACACAAUCGCGCAAAGGGUGCUCAACGAAUUGGACAAUAUCCAAAAAUUAAUUUGAAUCAGACGGAGCCGCCAUUUUCAGAAAGGCCUACGUAAUUCUUCAGUAUGUCUUACGUGACCCACCCCGCAGAGUUUGAGGCGGAUCCUAUUAUGUUUGAGGCCCCCGAGGUGGGAGUUACGGAUCUCCUAACGCCGAAGCCUAAUAAGGAAUUUUGUUGAAGUUGGAGAGGGUUUUGAAGAGUUGGCCAGCGGACAGGUGGUAAGAGGAACAAUGGCUUGAGAGAGCUAAAAUAUGAACAACAGCCUUGUUUCUCUGGCUAUAAAUUGUUCUCAAUCUCUGAGAAGUAGCCGUCAAACAAGAUGGGAAGACUGACAAGGCUAUAUCGACUCGGCUAUCGGUGCUGAUCAAGGAUAUAUGUAUAUGGGGCCGGAAAGGCUUUAAUGAAAUGCCGAAAUGGCGAAAUGAAUCCAUCUGGACAGCUAUCUUGCUUCUAAAAAAAUGU